rnacentral:tRNA from 1 species
AGAAAGAUGCCUGACUAAAGGAUUAUUCUGAUAGAAUAAAGUAAGUAAAUAAAUUUUACUCUUUCUA